ACUCCCUCAUGGACAAAAAUCACAAAAUGGCUGCCACCAACUGAGUGUUUUUCAUAUUUCUAGUGCUGUCUUUGUGGUUCCAGGCCUUUUUGCCUAGUUGUUUGCAUGAGGUGGAUCACUGAUUAGACUAAUAGAACCUUGCACUAGAAUGUAUCUUCUAAUUAUUCUUGUGUGAGGAAAUGGGCUUUUUAGUCUUUCCUGGGUUAUCAUUUGUUCCUUCCACCACAAUUACUCAUUUCAGAACUGUAAGUAAUAUG